rnacentral:lncRNA from 1 species
UCAAACACUCAACCGCAGUUAGCACCGCUUCCGUUCACCAACCAAAGCCAAUCAAAUGCCACAUUCUCCUUUUCCCAACCUCCGCCCCCAAUAACUUUGCUUUGGCUGCCUGCCACCCUUUUCCCAACCUCCGCCCCCAAUAACUUUGCUUUGGCUGCCUGCCACACUCACCAAUCUAAACUCGCCUCCUUUCACACCCUCUCCAUUUCACCAAUCCCUGAUUUUGGGUGUCUCUUUAUAUAAAAUAUUACAUCAAGAUGUGCCUUUUCUUUUCAU